GUGUGUGGAUGUGCACAGCAAUGCUAAGGAGGGGAAGAAAAGAGGUGAAAUGCAAGCAUUGAGAUCCUGAGACUUUAGUUUAGAGAAAGAUUUGCAGAAGGAAUAGGUUACAUACAUAUUAUCUGUUCAGGCCAGGAUAUAAUCCCUAUUUCUGUUAGGAAGAUAUCCAUAGUAUAAAAAAUAUGCAUUUGUAUUAUGAUAUAAAAUAAUGUUACAUAAAUAGUAGUGCUACGAAUUUGCAAGUGUCAAGAAAGACAGAAUAAGGCUUCCAGAUUUGUAGUAAAAUGAAAUUAGAAACAUUGUCUCUACCCAGAGGAGCCAGCUUGAAGUAGAUAGCAAAACAGAAAUUCAUCCCACCUGAGGAUUUCUUCUCCCUAAAGACAGAGAAAAAUCAAGAGAAAGGAAUGUAUGCCUUCUUGGUAAAGACUGUCCAGGGUAACUGUUUUGAAGAAGGGCUAAGACCAAAUACAUAAAGGGAAGAGUAGACUGCUACCAGGAGCAGACCAAUUGCCAAGAGGUACAGAGGAUACCUGUCUCAUCCAGAAGUACAAAAAUAGUCCCAAAUUCCAUAUGAGAGGAUUUAGAAUAAGAAUUUGGAUGGAUCCAGCCUGCAGUAUCCUGUGGUUCCUGUGUACAGGAUCCAGCUGAGUCUUCUGGAAAGGAAAAGAGGCCUCGCUGCCUCCCUGUGUGUCUCUACAGAAGGUUGUGCAGAGACCUUGAUUAUUCUGCCUUCCUGUAGAUACAAUGAAUUUUCAUUGGAAAUGUGUUACUUUUCUGGUUCAUGUGGGGAAGGAAGUUCAUGCUUCAGUGUGUCACAUUAGCAUCUUCCCUGUAAUAGAGCUGGCCAGAUACUAGGAAAACAUAUAUAUUAUAUAUUUUAAUUUGCAGCAAACAGAGCUCUCAGAGUCCUAGAUGCUUUUAAUUCAACUGAUUUAACCAAUCAUAAAGUCUAAAGACCAAAUAUGGAAUCAGCCACUAUGAGAAGCAAAUAUAACAAAUAAAAUAUUAAUUU